CAGUCGCCGCGGGAAUACGAAGGGGGCUAGCGUUGCUCGGAAUUACUGGGCGUAAAGGGCGCGUAGGCGGACAGUUCAGUCGGGGGUGAAAGCCCGGGGCUCAACCUCGGAAUUGCCUUCGAUACUGGCUGUCUUGAGUAUGAGAGAGGUGUGUGGAACUCCGAGUGUAGAGGUGAAAUUCGUAGAUAUUCGGAAGAACACCAGUGGCGAAGGCGACACACUGGCUCAUUACUGACGCUGAGGCGCGAAAGCGUGGGGAGCAAACAGGAUUAGAUACCCCCGUAGUCCCUGUCUCUUAUAC
rnacentral:rRNA from 1 species